GGUGGGUAUAGCUCAGUGGUAGAGCACAUGCUUAGCAUGCAUGAGGUCCUGGGUUCAAGUCCCAGUAUCUCCA
rnacentral:tRNA from 1 species